rnacentral:rRNA from 1 species
CCUACGGGGGGCAGCAGUGGGGAAUAUUGCGCAAUGGGCGAAAGCCUGAACCAGCCAAGUCGCGUGAGGGAGGACGGCCCUACGGGUUGUAAACCUCUUUUGCCGGGGAGCAACGGGCGCCACGUGUGGCGCCACUGAGAGUACCCGGAGAAAAAGCAUCGGCUAACUCCGUGCCAGCAGCCGCGGUAAUACGGAGGAUGCGAGCGUUAUCCGGAUUUAUUGGGUUUAAAGGGUGCGUAGGCGGAUCGUUAAGUCAGUGGUCAAAUUGAGGGGCUCAACCCCUUCCCGCCAUUGAAACUGGCGUUCUUGAGUGGAAGAGAAGUAUGCGGAAUGCGUGGUGUAGCGGUGAAAUGCAUAGAUAUCACGCAGAACCCCGAUUGCGAAGGCAGCAUGCCGGCUUCCGACUGACGCUGAAGCACGAAAGCGUGGGGAUCGAACAGGAUUAGAUACCCUUGUAGUC